AUUGAACGCUGGCGGCAGGCUUAACACAUGCAAGUCGAACGAUGAUUAUCUAGCUUGCUAGAUAUGAUUAGUGGCGGACGGGUGAGUAACAUUUAGGAAUCUACCUAGUAGUGGGGGAUAGCUCGGGGAAACUCGAAUUAAUACCGCAUACGACCUACGGGUGAAAGGGGGCGCAAGCUCUUGCUAUUAGAUGAGCCUAAAUCAGAUUAGCUAGUUGGUGGGGUAAAGGCCCACCAAGGCGACGAUCUGUAACUGGUCUGAGAGGAUGAUCAGUCACACCGGAACUGAGACACGGUCCGGACUCCUACGGGAGGCAGCAGUGGGGAAUAUUGGACAAUGGGGGCAACCCUGAUCCAGCCAUGCCGCGUGUGUGAAGAAGGCCUUUUGGUUGUAAAGCACUUUAAGCAGGGAGGAGAGGCUAAUGGUUAAUACCCAUUAAAUUAGACGUUACCUGCAGAAUAAGCACCGGCUAACUCUGUGCCAGCAGCCGCGGUAAUACAGAGGGUGCGGGCGUUAAUCGGAAUUACUGGGCGUAAAGCGAGUGUAGGUGGCUCAUUAAGUCACAUGUGAAAUCCCCGGGCUUAACCUGGGAACUGCAUGUGAUACUGGUGGUGCUAGAAUAUGUGAGAGGGAAGUAGAAUUCCAGGUGUAGCGGUGAAAUGCGUAGAGAUCUGGAGGAAUACCGAUGGCGAAGGCAGCUUCCUGGCAUAAUAUUGACACUGAGAUUCGAAGGCGUGGGUAGCAAACAGG
rnacentral:rRNA from 1 species